GGGUGUAAAGAAGUGCGCGAGGCGGUUCGUGUAAGUCAGAUGUGAAAUCCCCGGGCUUAACCUGGGAACUGCGUUUGAAACUGCAGAGCUAGAGUGCGGCAGAGGGAGGUGGAAUUCCAUGUGUAGCAGUGAAAUGCGUAGAGAUAUGGAAGAACAUCGAUGGCGAAGGCAACCUCCUGGGCUAGCACUGACGCUCAUGCACGAAAGCGCGGGGAGCAAACAGGAUUUAGAUACCCCUGGUAGUCCACGCCCUAAACUAUGUCAACUAGUUGUCGGGUCUUAAUAGACUUGGUAACGUAGCUAACGCGUGAAGUUGACCGCCUGGGGAGUACGGUCGCAAGAUUAAAACU
rnacentral:rRNA from 1 species